rnacentral:rRNA from 1 species
CCUACGGGAGGCAGCAGUGAGGAAUAUUGGUCAAUGGACGAGAGUCUGAACCAGCAAAGCCGCGUGAAGGAUGACUGCCCUAUGGGUUGUAAACUUCUUUUAUAAAGGAAUAAAACGAGGCACGUGUGCCUUUUUGCAUGUACUUUAUGAAUAAGGCUCGGCUAACUCGGUGCCAGCAGCCGCGGUAAUCCGGAGGAUCCGAGCGUUAUCCGGAUUUAUGGGGUAUAAAGGGAGCGUAGAUGGGUUGUUAAGUCAGUUGUGAAAGUUUGCGGCUCAACAGUAAAAUUGCAAUUGAUACUGGCAGUCUUGAGUACAGUUGAGGUAAGCGGAAUUCGUGGUGUAGCGGUGAAAUGCGUAGAUAUCACGAAGAACCCCGAUUGCGAAGGCAGCUUACUAAACUGUGACUGACAUUGAUGCUCGAAAGUGUGGGUAUCAAACGGGAUUAGAUACCCGGGUAGUC